rnacentral:lncRNA from 1 species
UUACACUUCACUCUUGCCAACAAUUUCUGCAUACUCAGAUGCGCAGGCAACGACGACUCUUGUCAUCCAAUACACAGCAAUUGGGAUUUGAUUCGAUGCGAUAACCAUCGGUUCUGCAUCAUUUGAUAUGUAUUUUGAUGGAAAGCAACCAAAUUUAGCAAUGAACCUCGUCACCUCAAUCGACACUUUCACUAGGUUUAUAAUAGUCUCGAAUUUGGAUUUCAUCGAUGCAAAAAUCUCAUCACUCUCGUCGGGUAUUUGCUUGAGCAUCGCGACUAAUUUCGCGAGCGGAUCGCUCUUGUAGAGCCUCGCCACGAGGUUGUAUUGGCCGUAUUCGACUACAAAAGAGGCUAAAAUUAUCACGAUUUUAGCCUCCCAUUUGUAGUGUUCAAGCAGUUGCAGAAUUUCCAGUGCUGAGGCAUGGCCAUCCCCGCCCGAGCACUUGCAAUUCAACUAAAUCCAAAAAAGAAAAAAAGAAAAGAAAAUAAUAACGACAACAACAACAACAAUUAUUAAUAAAAAAUGAAAAAAAUGUAUAAUUAAGUAAUAUAAAAAGAUUCGAAUUCCAACCACACAGGUGAUCUGAUGUAACAGAUAGGGUAAGGUGUCCAGAAGGCCGUCGGGCCCCGGUGGGGCUAUGAUUCUCCGGAGCUUGCCGGCCUCGUCUGUCAGACCCUGAUCCUGUAUAAUGGCGACACUUGUAAAAUCUAAACUACCUUAAAAAAAAUGAAUUGAUAAAAUUAAAGAUUAAAAAGGAUAAAUUAACAAACUUACAUCACGAGGGGCGUCGUCUCCCGGCAUGACAUGAUUGAGGAUACCUUCGAUUGAGGCAAGAAGUGAUUCGUCAUCGAACUCGAUGACGUCAUUAGCAUGAAGUUCUAGAACUUUUCUUUCUUAGAGCCGUCUCAUCCGAAGAGGAAACUAGNAGUAUCGCCACUCCUCUCUCACGUACUUCACGAACCCUUGUUUGAUCAACCUCGGAUGCUCCAAAGAGUGCCACGGCAUGCUGCACUUCAACUCCACAACUCUAUCAUUAAAUUCUUUGGUUUCUUCGAUCUUUUCGACAAUCGGGAGCCACACGAUCUCGUAGUGGCACUCUGAUUUCUUUCUCUCUUUGUAGAAAUAUUUGAUUUGGUUGAUUUCUUCGACGGAGAUUUCAAGAUCUGAGAUUAGUAGCAGCACGGUUUUCCCUCUGAGAUCUUCCACACUUAUCUGUUUGGAUACAUUUUGGUAGAGCCUUCAGUCAAUUUAUGUGUUAAUUAAAGACAAAAAUACCUUUUAUUAUCAUAAAAGUAUAUUUUAUUGGUUUUUUUUAUUUGAUUAAUAUACGGGAGAUCAAGAAAAGGAUGGUUCAAAAAAAAAUGUAGUAACACAAUUAACAACUACUAAUAAUAUUUUCAUUAUUUUCACUAUAGAAAUCAGUAUGUCCCACAAUUUUUUGUGUCUCAUCGUAAUUUGAGUAUAUUUAUUAAAAAAAUAAAAUUUUGAAGCUAAAUAAAAUUAAAUACCCUAAUUAUGGAAUUAUCGAACCCUAAUAAUCAAAGAUUAACUAUAAAUUGCAAAUUAAAUUUUUAAAAAUAAUUAUAAAUUCUAAUUGAGUUAGUAAACUCAAAUUAAUAGUUAUAAAAUUAAAAAUUAAACUGAAGUAAUUGAAAUCGUCGACGAAAAAAAAUACUAUAAAAAUUUGAUGGUGGGUUCAUGGAUUUAUGGAACACCAAAAUAUGGGACAGAGGAUCCCAAGUGAAAAAAUUAUAUUAACAUAAUGCAUAAAUAAAUUUGUUAAAACUAAAAUUUAAAAAAAUAAAUAAAAAUUGUUAAAACUAAUAUUUGUAACAAAAUUUGAUUUAAUGAAUUGAUACCUUUGUUUCCACUUGAGGGCCACAUGAAAGAGGAUGCAAGCCAUCUUUCUUUUUCAUAAUAGUCUGUAAUAUUUUCUGGUUGUCAAUGUAGACUGUUGUCUGACCAAACAUUGUCUUUAGUUUCUCAACGUAUCUGAUUUGUUUCUUCUCCGCUGCAAAGUAUUUCCACAUAAUUAAUCCUUAUAUACAUAUAUGUGCUUAAUUAGUUAACAUUUUUCAUGUAUAAUUAAUAGGUCAAAUAUCAUAUUGUAACUCUCAUUUAAGAAAAUACUGUGACCUUUACAAUAUAAAAUAUUAGCAUCUGAUCUAUUGACUAAUUAAAAAUUAAUUGCAUGCUAAGAAAAUAUUAUGAACCCUCGUUGGAUAUAAUGAAUAUAUCUUAACUAAGAACUGUAAAAUUUGAGUAAAAAUUACAAGAAAUUGAAGUUGAAGAUGAGAAAAAUUCUAAGAAAUUUAAUUGUGUGAGACACUAAAAAUCGUGUGUUAGUUUAGUGAAAAGUGGUUAAUGCAUGCCCGAGGCCAAAGGUCUAAAAGGUUCAUGUUUACUGUUACGCGAUCUUUAAAGUUAUUUAUUUUUCAAUAAAAUUAUUUAUGUCACCUAUGUGUAUGCUGCAGGCAUCAUACUGUGUCUGGAAUGAGGUUUGUAUUGUAGUGAUCUUCUGAUGCAAGGUGGUAACGCUCCAUGUUUCUGUGUAUGAACUUGUUCUGCAAAAUUUACAAGUUAAUAAUAAUAAUAAUAACAAUAAUAAUAAUAAUAAUAAUAACUUACACUUCACUCUUGCCAACAAUUUCUGCAUACUCAGAUGCGCAGGCAACGACGACUCUUUCAUCCAAUACACAGCAAUUGGGAUUUGAUUCAUGCGAUAACCUCGGUUCUGCAUCAUGAUAUGUAUUUUGAUGGAAAGCAACCAAAUUUAGCAAUAACCUCGUCACCUCAAUCGACACUUUCACUAGGUUUAUAAUAGUCUCGAAUUUGAUUUCAUCGAUGCAAAAAUUCAUCACUCUCUCGGGUAUUUGCUUGAGCAUCGCGACUAAUUUCGCGAGCGGGUCGCUCUUGUAGAGCCUCGCCACGAGGUUGUAUUGGCCGUAUUCGACUACAAAAGAGGCUAAAAUUAUCACGAUUUUAGCCUCCCAUUUGUAGUGUUCAAGCAGUUGCAAAAUUUCCAGUGCUGAGGCAUGGCCAUCCCCGCCCGAGCACUUGCAAUUCAACU